rnacentral:ncRNA from 1 species
GAAAAGGCAAAACUGUCGUGAGGCAGUGACGCAAAGCCACAGAUCCUGUGUGUUGAGCAGGAUGGCUGGGCCGCAG